CCUACGGGAGGCAGCAGUGAGGAAUAUUGGUCAAUGGGCGUAAGCCUGAACCAGCCAAGUCGCGUGCGGGAUGAAGGCUCUAUGGAUCGUAAACCUCUUUUAUAAGGGAAUAACGUGCGGGACGUGUCCCGUUUUGUAUGUACCUUAUGAAUAAGGAUCGGCUCACUCCGUUCCAGCAGCCGCGGUAAUACGGAGGAUCCGGGCGUUAUCCGGAUUUAUUGGGUUUAAAGGGUGCGUAGGCGGCCUUUCAAGUCAGCGGUGAAAUUCUGUGGCUCAACCAUAGAAUUGCAGUUGAAACUGGGGGGCUUGAGUAUGUGUGAGGCAGGCGGAAGGCGUGGUGUAGCGGUGAAAUGCCUAGAUAUCACGCAGAACCCCGAUUGCGAAGGCAGCCUGCCAAGGCAUGACUGACGCUGAUGCACGAAAGCGUGGGGAUCAAACAGGAUUAGAUACCCUAGUAGUC
rnacentral:rRNA from 1 species